CACCUUAAAUUUUUGCUCUCUUAGCGUCGUUCAAUCAUAUCCAGUUGGAUGCACACUUGAUGACUACUGGGAGUUGACACUUCCUUUUCAAGAAGUCCUGGUAGUUCCUAUUUUUGGAACAGAGGUUGCUAUUACUGUUUGUGAUUACUGAAUAAGAGCCUAGAUUACUUUAUGCAUCAACUGUAGUUUUGACAAGGAAAAAAAAAUCUGAUAUCACAGUUUGGUGAAAAGACUAUAGCUGAUUUACCAGUUCUGCAACUUUUGUGAGAUAGUAUAAAACAAAAACUUUUGUGAGACCAAGUGCCUAGACAUCUUUAUUAGAUGCAUAUUGUGGAUGCUUUACUUUUGAGGUAUUUUUCUGACCUUAAAGGCUUCCUUGAGCGCAAGGAAUUUUCUAGGGUUUCAAUCCGUAGGAAUUUUUUCUAUAGCGGUUGUCUGAUUUGUAGGAUGAGAAAACUUAGGAAUUUCACUGUGGGCCACUUUGCAUUCAAUUCCACAGGAACUUUGCAUCAAGUCUAAACACUCUUGGAAGAACUCAUGUGCCUCCUGAGCUCUUAUGUUAAACUCUAUUAUGGUGUAAUACUGUAAUCACACACAGUUUGAAGCCGCUUCCUAUGGUUUACAAUCCUACAGGAUUCGGGAAGGCAUGCCAUUGGAAUCCAGUGUUUUUCCUAUAUCUGUGUCUUCAGGAUCCUGCGAAUCGAAGAGGCCUUAAGUUCACAACUCUUAGUGGCAUCUAGCGAGGUGUAUUGUCAAUGAAAUGAACCUGCAGAAGCUAAUUGCUUACUAAGUGAUAAAUUGCGGUAUCCUGAUUUCAGAAUCCUAUGAAUCAAAGAGGCCCCAAGUUCACAACUCUUUGCGGCAUCUGGCGAGGUGUGUUUCUCACCUUAAAUAUUUGCUACUCUUAGCAUCGUUCAAUCAUAUCCUGUUGGAUGCACACUUGAUGACUACUGGGAGUUGGCACUUCCUUUUCUAGAAGACGUGGUAGUUCCUAUUUUUGGAACAGAGGUUGCUAUUACUGUUUGCUAACAACUGUAAAAAAAGCGUUGUGGCAAUGAUGAUGAAAAUUCCCAUGCUUUUAUGUCACAUGGUGAAGUUCACGACACUUUUAGGGUUAUUGAGUUAAAAGGAGGUGAAUAAAAUGAGAUUAGUUGAAUUAUAGGAUGAGAGAACCUUAAAUAAAUUAUUUGCUAAAUUCCAAGCCAACCAGUAGGAAGUAAGGUUCCAAAUCAAAAGAAGACUUCAAAGCACCUUUUCCAAAUGCAAAUCAAAGCUUCCGAAAUUUUAGAAAAUGGGGAUCCACAGAAAAGGAACAAUUUUUGGUGGUGCAAUAUCCUAUACAUAUAUGAUAGCUUUAGGCAUUUGCUACUCUUUUCUAUAUGCAGCUAUGAGCAACCAAAACAAUUAGAAGCUCCAACUUGCUGUUUGUUCCCUCCACCUAAGACUUGAUGAGUUCUGAUAGAAGAUCCAACUUGCUGUUCUUCCUUAAACUUUGACUGGAACAUGUCACUUUGAUAGUUCAAGCUUGCAAGUUGCAUGCUUACUGAGGCUUCCAUGACCCCCAAAGUAUGCCAUACUAGUACAACUGGGUCAACUUGUGCGUUAAACUUAGGUUGUCGAGGAGAUCUUUCGUUAGAAUAACGGAUGAUAUGCUGGUGACUAGAUGAUUCGUAACUGCCCCUUCAGUCUUUGGUAACACUAAAUAAAGAAAAGGUAGUAGUUGUUUGUUUGAUUGAUGCACUGGCAAAAAGAUUAGUAAAUUACCAUGCUGGUAAGAAGGAUAAUUCACAUGAAAGUAUCACUCUGACUGGUCAUGGAAACAAUAUCACACUGAUACCUGUCAGGCUGUCACAGAGUUCAGGCCAAACUUGAGGCAUAUUCACAUGCCAUUGCUUUUUUUAAUAACCCUCACUUCAUACAGUGUCUAUCCAGGUAGAAGAAGCUUAUAUGUUUCUUAGAAUAAAACUGGAUUGGGAAAAGGUGUUCCCUUGAGCAUAAAAUUCGUGAAAAAAAAUAUGUUGAGACAUCCAAGUUGUAAACAAUGGGCUGGAGAUUGUUGUUAUCACCUCCCUUGUCCUCCCAUCACUCGACUCCUCUAAAGGUAUCUUUCUUGAACUAAAAUAAUGACAAAAUCUGUAUAUAUAAAGAAGGGAGCUGGCUCUAGAGGUAAGCCAUCUUAGUAGUGAGUGAGUAACUUGUGUCUUCAGCUCUUAUUCUUGCCCGCUUCCAUUGUUCAAGCUAGCUACCACUAGCUACUUCUCUCAUCGAUAGCAUGGCCAUUUCAUCAAAUACGGUCGUGGUUUUCAUGUUGCUGCUCAGUACUGCCUUCAUGCAGCUUCCUGUGCCAGCUGAUGCAAGGAGGCUAGAAGUGAAGGCGCCUAUCAUCAGCGUGCGUCCUCCCUGCACUGGAAGGGGCACUCUGGAGGCGCCUGCUGAGCAAGUCGAGUCGACAACUCCAGGUCAUAGCCCUAGCAUUGGCCAUAAUAGUCCACCAAACUGAGAUGGCCCGAUGCUGCUUCGUUCCAUACCAGGACUUUGCAGCUUGGUAUAUGAUACUCCUGUGGUGUAUUCUCUGUGUGUUUGUUACGAAAGGCAUAAGGCAUGCGAUCGACGCUAGGGGAGAUUUUGUUUCCCUUAUAUUUGUUUUGUCACCAGUGAAACUUGUGCCUGCAUUUUCUUUCGCUCUUACGUGAAAAACUUUUGCUUACCGCUGUCUCCGAGGAGGGCCUAUUGAUCUGUAGCAGUUUGGUUUUAGAUUUUUUUUACUCUUCCUAUGUUGUAAACUUGAGGAGGUAUAUGUGAGCUUGUCGAAAGUUUUCCUGCAAUGAUGACGUAAAGUUGAAAGAGAUCCAUUGUGAAUGGCACUUUGGUUUCCCAUCUAAAUGGAACAGCUUAGCUCGGUACUGGUCUACUGGAUCCAUCUAUGUAACCGUUGCACAAUACCUUCAAUAUAAACAUUAAGUUUGUGUAAAUUGGUCAAGGCUAAAAUAUUUGUUAAGAAAGCCCUUAGAAUAUAGGGGCAUACUUUGCUGAAGGAACAGAUGCAUCUUCACAAACAAGGCCUCGUGUCCAGCCUCUGUUGUUGGUGGUCUUGUCAAUGAUCUGCACCUGAUCCGGCUGAAUGUAGCAGAACAUUAGCUGAAACAUCCAUGUACAGGCAGCCCCUGGGGUCACUGCUUUUUCGUUUUUCUUAUGCUUCCUCCCUCUCUUUCUCCAAUGUGUUUUCCUCUUGUACAAUCCUAAUCUAUAAUGCAAAGGCAGAGCACCUGCCAUUUUCCCCUCAAAAAAGAAUAACACAAGUUUGUAAAUUGUUUGGUUUCUUACUUCCCUUGGAACUCUAUGUACUUGACCAUCUAUUUUCCUAACCAGUUUCAUUCUUAUGGCUGUAUUCCUGUUGCAUACACUUGAUUCAAACAGCUAGCCAGGAUACACGCUCGUUGCGAAGUGAGCUAAUCUGUCCACAAUUAUUUUGCCUCACUGAGUGUUUUCAUUUGCAGUUACCCUGGAAAUUCAUGCCAUAAAGGAAUUAAAAGAAUCAUAGUAUAGUCAACAUUGUUGCCCAGGGUCUCUCUUUUAUGUUUUAUAGAUGUCCCUUUUCUUGUACUGGGUUGCAUUCUGUGUGUGAGAGAGACAAGUUGGCUGUGUCGUACUACAAUUCUAAAGAACUUUGUUAUGCUGUACACCUUUUUCUCUUUGGUUCAGGGCCAAAGCAUGCAGCAGCAGCUGUACUAUGAUCUUAAAAUACUUCAGCCAACUAUGUGCACAGAUCACUUGCUGGUCCCAGUUCAUAAUCAAAUCACAGUGUACUAGGUAGUACUCCGUGCUAAUGCAACUCUUGUAUUGCUACUAAAAACCGCGGCAUCAUGUACCAAACUUUUGGUGACAGCUCUUGUAGCGGUUCAUGGUUGUAAAUUGCCUGAUAUUUUCCCACCCUAGCAGUCAAACAUUUAACAUAUCGUAUUGUUUUAUAUAUUUAACAUAUCGUAUUGUUUUAUAUACAUUAAUGUUCAGUUGGUGUUGCACAAACUUGAAUAAGACAGCCAGCUAGUAUGUUCAUUUCAAAGUGGUCUGAUCAUGUUCAAAGAAAAAGUUGUCUGACCUCUGCAUAAGAUAUCUUUCUGCCAAGGUUUUCUUUUUUCUGGAAGUCUGUGUUGUACUGAGUUACACUUCUAAAGGACUUGCCUGGAUUAUACAUUUUUUUUCUGUACUGAUAGAGUGAUUGUAUACAACUCUAAAAGACUAGUCUGAGUUAUACAACUCUGUACAGACACAUAGACGGAUCGGCGCCCUUCAUGCCAGAGUGAGAGGGUAGGGAGCCGCCAUUGGAGAUGGAGAAGGUUAUUAACUUAUUACUGAAUCGGCUUGAGCCCAUGGAGCUGACGAGGGCGUUUCUUCACCUGCUGGUUGUUUCUUCUCCUAAAGACCCGGCUUCUGUCUGUCUGAUUUUUAGCAACUUCAAGCUGAGCUUGUGCUCUAGACUUCAGAUUUUUGCUGCUUGUCUGAUUGAUGUUUGUUAGCAGUUUGCACAGCAUUACGUAUCUUUCAACCGCCGCGUUUGUUUCUUUGUAAGUUGUUGGUCCUUGUAAACCUGGCCGGCCCAUGACUUUGUUAAUUCAGAGAUGAGCUCAUCGCGAGCCUCCGUUUUACAAAAAUGGCUGUAUUGCACACUUGUGAA